ensembl:lncRNA
AGAGUCAGUAAGUCUAGCCCACACUCAAAGGGAGGGAAAUUAAAUUCCACAUCUAUAAUAUAUAUUACCUGCUUUAGAUUCCAAAACCUAGGAGGGAGCCAAGACCAGGGGGAAAGAUGGUGUCCUGACCAAUGGGCCCAGAGCAAGAGGAGUUUGGUCUUGUUGUUGUGCAAGGGACUUACUAAGACACGAUGGGAGAAAGAGACAUCCUCCUGGGCACUAUAUUUUCUUUGAGGUGUUAUAAAAGCACACACUCUAGACACGCAGACGUUAAGAGUUGCGGCACACAGGCUCAGGAGUUGCAGCUUGUGAGUCCCAGAGCUUGGGCAGCUUCCGGAGCUUAGUUGCAUGUGGAAUCUUUCUGGACCAGGGAUCGAACCCGUGUCCCGUACAUUGGCAGGUGGAUUCCUAUCCACUGUGCCACCAGGGAAGUCCCCUACUUUUUUUAAAGUGACAUUAUAAAUUAGCAUGAAGUUGAAAUGUCAAUUGGACUGAAGCAGAUAAACCUUUUGUUUUAAUUAAUAGAACUUAAUAGGGUGAUCCUGUAACAGCCCAAAGACCUCAUGUAUUAUGCUGAGUAAAGAAAGACUUUCUUCUUGCUCUUACAACAAAUGCUGUACGCUUGUGCAGUGCAGGAAUUCAAGUGCCACUGAGCUCUCCUGGUGUCCACAGCUACACGGCUGGUGCAGUUUGUGGUGCCCUCCUAAAGCCAGUCAGGGAUCCCUGCGGCUCCAGAUUUUGUCCUGGGGAGAAUCCUAGUCUGUGAAUCAUGUGUCAUAGUCUUGGAUCAGGAUAAUGCAUUCUGAUCUGUUUUGCCUCCUAAAGAACAGAACUGGGUACCUAGGAAAUUGUAACUUCUGCCUCUAAGCAGAGCAGAGAAGUCUGGACCCUAUUUGAAGCUUUUGUUCUUUGUUUUGGUCAGAAAAUUAUGUGUUUAAGGUACAGAAACAUAAUCCAUUGACCUCAAAUAAAAUGAGUAGGUAGUUAAUGUAAGCAUGCAAGUGAAAAUCUCAUGGACAAAGGGACACAGUCAAGGCAGGUGACCUGGAGAACUCAAAGGAGGUCAGGAGUGAAACUGACCUGGGUUAAGCCUGUCUCUGCAACUUACUAGUCAUAUAACUGUAAGCAAGUCAUUUUGUAACCCUAUAAACUCUUUCCCCACUAUACUGCACUGGGGAAACUACUGUCUUCUUCCCUCCUAACCUAUGAGGAUCCAAUGUUAUGGAAGAUGGCCAAGAAUGUUGGCUGGGGUAGAGUAGCUUCCCAACAGUAUGCUUUAAAUUGGCUCAAUACUUUAAGUAUGACUCAUGGGACACUCACAGGGCAUCACCAUUCCUAGAAGUAGAAGUAAAAGAGAUGGUUUAGUGAGUAGGCGAUGGAUUACAUUUUGGAUAUGCUGGAAUUUUCAACUGGACAGGAUGUUCAGGUAGGAAGAUCCCACAAACCAAUGGAAAUGCAGGAUAUAAAUUCAGAAAGAAGGCAAGGCUGGCUAGAGAAUCAGAUGUGGGGCCUAUCCAAAGAGAAGUGAUAAUUACAUUAGUGAGAAUACAGCCAUUGAGAGUGCUGGGAUAGAACAAACAGAAGAAGAGCAUCUCAAUUUGGGCACACACAAACUUCAGGGGAGGAAGAAGGAAACAUGGGAAGGAGUGGAUAGAGAAGUGAGAGAAUUAGGAAGGUGCUAGUAUAGAAGGCUCCCCUGGUGGCUCAGCAGUAAAGAAUCCACCUGCAAUGCCGGAGAUAAUGGGUUCGAUCCCUGGGUCAACAAGAUCCCCUGGAGGAGAAAAUGCCAACCCACUCCAGUAAUCUUGCCCAGAAAAUCCCAUGGAUAGAGGAGCUUGGUGGUGUUGCAAAGGAGUCCAACACAUCUGAGCAACUGAAGAGCAGGUACAGAAGUAUAUAUAGGGCUUUUAGGGCUGUUAAGUUCUUUGGUGAUUUUAAAGUUUUUCAGAUGAACUACUUUAUCAUUCGCUUUGAGUUGGUAUCAUUCCUAGAGAAGUUUUGGGUGUAGCAUGAAAAAAGUGUAGGCUGCAUCUGUGAUUUACGUAUUAAGUUAAAAGAAACAAAGCAUUGCUCCUUCAAAGUGGCAGGGAUAUAUAUACUGUAUAUAUGAUGAGAAAUUAACUGUCUUUGAAAAGGGCAGUUGCCAAAAUAUUUACAAGUAUACACACUAAAGCGUUAGUCACUCAGUUGUGUCUGAUUCUUUGCAACCCCAUGGGCUGUAGUCCCCCGUGAGGCUCCUCUGUCUAUGGGAUUUCCCAGGCAAGAAUACUGGAGUGGGUAGGCAUUCCCUUCUCCAGGAGAUCUUCCAGACUAACGACUGAACGCAGGUCUCUUGCAUUGCAGGCAGAUUCUUUACCAUCUGAGCCACCAGGGAAGCCUUGCCCUAAUUACAAUAUUGGGAGAAUGUAUAGUGUGGUAGAGAGAGCAGAAAACCAGAAUCAGAUAGUCUUGGGUCAAACCCUGUGACCUGCUUGAGGUACCUGUUUUUUUCUUCUCAAUAACUGGAAAAUCACAUCACUAAACGACAGCAUCUUUUGUGAUAAUUAAAUGAAACAAUGUACAUGAAGUACCUGGUGCUUCCCAGGUGGGGCUGGUGGUAAAGAAACUGUCUGCCAAUGCAGGAGACUUAAGAGACUGAGUUUGAUCCCUGGGUUGGAAAGAUUCCCUGGAGGAGGGCAUGGCAAUCCACUCUAGUAUUCUUGCCUGGAGAAUCCCAUGGACAGAGGAGCCUGGUGGGCUACAGUCCAUAGGGUUGCAAAGAGUCAGACAUGACUGAAGUGACUUUGCAUCCAUGUACACACAUAUGAAGUACCUAGAACAGUAACCAAAGCAUAGUCAAUGUUAUCAUAGCAAUAAUGUUUUUGUGUUUUUUUUUCCAGCCAUGCCAAGUGAGAUCUUAGUUCCCCAACCAGGGAAUGAACCCUGUGCCCUCUGCACUGGAAAUGCAGAGUCUUAACCACUGCACCACCACAGAAGUCCCUGUUAGGAUUAUGUCUCCUUUGCAGUCCUCCUUGUAUUUUAUCACUAGAUGGCGGCAAUGCUCCCUUAACCAAUUUAAAUGAAAAGGGACAACUUUCUGGAGGAGUUGAAAUUAGUGAAGGCUUACCCAAUAGAUGUGUGUAGGGCAUCAGAAAAAUAAGCGGUAGCGGUUAUAUAGAGUCAGAGAGAGAAGAGGAAGGAAGG